rnacentral:rRNA from 1 species
CUUUACUGUAGCCUGGAAUUGGCUUCGGGCUUCGCUUGCGCAGGAUAGGUGGGAGGCGUUGAAAGUUCCCUUGUGGGGGGACUGGAGCCAACGGUGAGAUACCACUCUGGCGAGGCUAGAAUUCUAACCCUGACCCGUGAUCCGGGCGGGAGACAGUUUCAGGUGGGCAGUUUGACUGGGGCGGUCGCCUCCUAAAAGGUAACGGAGGCGCGCAAAGGUUCCCUCGGUCCCGUUGGAAAUGGGACGAUAGAGUGCAAAAGCAGAAGGGAGCUUGACUGUGAGACCUACAAGUCGAACAGGGACGAAAGUCGGCUUUAGUGAUCCGACGGCACCGCGUGGAAGGGCCGUCGCUCAACGGAUAAAAGUUA